CGCCCAGCGGAAACUUCACCAGGGUGGGAGGCCUCAUUUUGUCUGCACCUACUUCCAGCUCCGACAGGAGGCGUGGGCCCAGGCAGGACUUUCACCCCCCAGCUCCUCGCCCAUUCGCCCUAGCGUCUCCUCCGCGUGCCUGGACCCACAGGGCAGCCAGCCAGGUGCAGCCAAGUCCCUGCCCUUAGGGAGGCCCCGCCAGAGACCAAGUGAAGAAGGACAGCCCCAGGGAAAGGUCUGGACAACAGGCGCGCUGAGCACUUCACUGGGCUUCCCUGUCGCGGGUUCCAGCCCUAUUCCUGGGCUCAGCAGAUAAUGGGAAUCCCGCGUGUGGGAACCGCUCCGAAAGCCAGACACCUACCCCAGUUCUCCGCGCAGCUGCCCAGGAGCGAGAGGCACACUUAUUUUCUGGCAAGAUGGCUCAGAGUUUAAUAUUUGAAUGUUGAUGUGGAACCCAGGGCAGAAUGCUACUCUAGAUUUCACUAGGGAAUGAGACGUGUGCUGGAAAGUUCCAUGAUGCCUGCCCAACUUUGCACUGAGCAGAUAUGAUUAUCCAAGGAUGCUUCCAGGACUACUGUUAGACAAAAGCAUCAUACAGAGCCUCCAGAAAGAAGGACUGCUCACCUUGACUGACAGCAGUCCACCACAGUGACUUGGGCUGCAACACCACACGGCAUGAAGACUUCCUUGUGUUGCUUGUGUUAUAGUAAAGGCAUCAAUGAAGAUUUUGCGGAUUUGUGCAACAAA